rnacentral:lncRNA from 1 species
ACUCCAUACUACCCUAUUGGAGGCUACUUCUAGCCGCUGGUGAUGGUCCCCGUGGCGAUGCGCACGAUAGCCACAGCCACACCAUCGUUAACAAAGUGCCUUCCUCUUCUUCUUUAGUUUCUGCUAGAAAACUCGCAGCUAAUCUUUGGGAGCUUCAUCAGUACCGACUGCCUCUGUCUAAAAUGCACCACGGGGGUAAUGGUCUCCCUCCCAGGCUUCGCCGCCUUCACCACCACCACCACCACCAAGUCCCUGAUCCCUCCCCUAGUUCCCCUGACCUGGUAAAAUUACCCAUCAUACCCUCAGAAAUACGUAAUUGGGGUUGUAUUUAUGAAUAGAAAAUGUAGAUUGAUGUUCUUUUGUGAAUUUUGAUCAAUUGGGUUUUUUGUAAUUGUGUUUUUUCGUGAUGGGUUUAGUUUGUUUUCAAUUUUUUGUGGUUCUUUGUUCUUCUUUUCUGUAAGUUAUGUAUUUUGAUGAUGGUUUCUUUCCUAUAUGUAUAUUCAUUUUCUUUGGUUUUUUUUUUUUUUGAUCAAUUGGGGUUCUGUAAUUGUGGUUUUUCCAGAUGGGUUACUUCGUUUUUAAUAUUUUAUUGUUCUUUCUUCUUCUUUCUAUAAGGUUAUUUAUUUUUGAUGAAGGGUUCCUAUGUAUGUUCAUGUUCUUUUGGGGGUUUUGAUGGACAGGGUUUUUAUAAUUGUGGUUUGUCCUGAUGGGUUUAGUUUGUUUUUCUUGAUAUUUGUUCUGGUUUUUUCUACAAGGUUAGGUGUUUGGAUGAUGGGUUUUUGUGGAUUCCUUUUUUAGCCUCAAUCAAUUGUUAGUUUUAUGUCAUUAUUACUAAUACAACUUUUAUAUUCAUGUUCUUUGGUUGUUUUGAUCAAGUGGGUUUAGUAAUUGUGGUUUUUCCUGAUGGGUUUGGUUCGUUUUUAAUUUUUUAUUGUUCUUUGCUCUUCUAUUCUAUUAGGUUUUGGAUUCUGAUGAUGGGUUUUCUGUUGGUUCCUUUUUUAUUCCUCAAUUAAAUGUUGGUUUAUGUCAUGGUUUCUAAUACAACAUGUAAGUUCAUCUUCUUUUGGGCGUUUUUGGAAUCAAUUGGGUUCUUGCAAUUGUGGUUUCUCUGAGUGGCUAGUUUGUUUGUCUUGUUCCUUGCUGUUUCUUUCUGUUUAUGUGUUUCCACAUGAUAGUUUUUUUUUUGUGGUUACUUUUUGGUAUGAUCUGACUGAACUUGUUUUUUUGAAGACAAAUUCGUAAUUCUCGUCGCAUUUUAGAAUUUUCAAAGCCUUUUCAGUUAGAAGUUUUAUAUUUGUUGCGACUUAUGUACGCUAAUUUCCUCCCCCGCAGCCAGGGAGUG